rnacentral:rRNA from 1 species
GACGUAGGGGGCGAGCGUUGUCCGGAUUUAUUGGGCGUAAAGCGUGCGUAGGCGGCUGCGCAAGUCGGUUGUGAAACCCCGGGGCUCAACCCCGGAACUGCAUCCGAUACUGCGUGGCUAGAGGUAGGUAGGGGAGAUCGGAAUUCCUGGUGUAGCGGUGAAAUGCGUAGAUAUCUGGAGGAACACCGGUGGCGAAGGCGGCAUCCUGGACCGAUACUGACGCUGAGGAGCGAAAGCCAGGGGAGCAAACGGG